CGGGGCGGCUGCUAUACAUGCAAGUCGAGCGGAGUUGAUAGGAAGCUUGCUUCCUUGAUACUUAGCGGCGGACGGGUGAGUAACACGUAGGCAACCUGCCCUCAAGUUUGGGACAACUACCGGAAACGGUAGCUAAUACCGAAUAAUUGUUUUCUUCGCCUGAAGGAAACUGGAAAGACGGAGCAAUCUGUCACUUGGGGAUGGGCCUGCGGCGCAUUAGCUAGUUGGUGGGGUAACGGCUCACCAAGGCGACGAUGCGUAGCCGACCUGAGAGGGUGAUCGGCCACACUGGGACUGAGACACGGCCCAGACUCCUACGGGAGGCAGCAGUAGGGAAUCUUCCGCAAUGGGCGAAAGCCUGACGGAGCAAUGCCGCGUGAGUGAUGAAGGUUUUCGGAUCGUAAAGCUCUGUUGCCAGGGAAGAACGCUUGGGAGAGUAACUGCUCUCAAGGUGACGGUACCUGAGAAGAAAGCCCCGGCUAACUACGUGCCAGCAGCCCGGGGUAAUACAA
rnacentral:rRNA from 1 species